GGGGAAUAUUGGGAAAUGGACGCAAGUCUGACCCAACAACGCCGCGUGAGGGAAGAAGGCUUUCGGGUUGUAAACUUCUUUUAAGGGGGAAGGGUAGAAGACGGUACCCUUUGAAUAAGCAACGGCUAACUACGGGCCAGCAGCCGCGGUAAUACGUAGGUGGCAAGCGUUGUCCGGAUUUACUGGGUGUAAAGGGCGUGUAGCCGGGAAGGCAAGUCAGAUGUGAAAUCUGGAGGCUCAACCUCCAAACUGCAUUUGAAACUGCUUUUCUUGAGUGUCGGAGAGGUAAUCGGAAUUCCUUGUGUAGCGGUGAAAUGCGUAGAUAUAAGGAAGAACACCAGUGGCGAAGGCGGAUUACUGGCCGAUAACUGACGGUGAGGCGCGAAAGCGUGGGGAGCAAACA
rnacentral:rRNA from 1 species